GACGAACGCUGGCGGCGUGCUUAACACAUGCAAGUCGAGCGAUGAACCUUUCAUGAAUUUUUCGGAAUGAUUGGAAGAGGAUUAGCGGCGGACGGGUGAGUAACGCGUGAGCAACCUGCCUUAAACAACGGGAUAGCCUCGGGAAACCGGGAUUAAUACCGUAUGAGACCCCGCCUUCACAUGAAGAAGAGGUUAAAGAUUUAUCGGUUUAAGAUGGGCUCGCGUCUGAUUAGCUAGUUGGUGAGAUAAAAGCCCACCAAGGCAACGAUCAGUAACCGGCUUGAGAGAGUGAACGGUCACAUUGGAACUGAGACACGGUCCAAACUACUACGGGAGGCAGCGUUGGGGAAUAUUGCACAAUGAGGGAAACCCUGAUGCAGCGACGCCGCGUGAGCGAUGAAGGAAUUCGUUUCGUAAAGCUCUGUCCAAGGGGAAGAUAAUGACAGUACCCUUGGAGGAAGCCCCGGCUAAAUACGUGCCAGCCGCUGCCGUAA
rnacentral:rRNA from 1 species